rnacentral:rRNA from 1 species
UACGGAGGGAGCUAGCGUUGUUCGGAAUUACUGGGCGUAAAGCGCGCGUAGGCGGCUUUGUAAGUUAGAGGUGAAAGCCCGGAGCUCAACUCCGGAACUGCCUUUAAAACUGCAUCGCUUGAAUCCAGGAGAGGUGAGUGGAAUUCCGAGUGUAGAGGUGAAAUUCGUAGAUAUUCGGAAGAACACCAGUGGCGAAGGCGGCUCACUGGUCCGGUACUGACGCUGAGGUGCGAAAGCGUGGGGAGCAAACAGG